UACGAAGGGGGCUAGCGUUGCUCGGAAUCACUGGGCGUAAAGGGCGCGUAGGCGGACUCUUAAGUCGGGGGUGAAAGCCCAGGGCUCAACCCUGGAAUUGCCUUCGAUACUGAGAGUCUUGAGUUCGGAAGAGGUUGGUGGAACUGCGAGUGUAGAGGUGAAAUUCGUAGAUAUUCGGAGGAACACCAGUGGCGAAGGCGGCUCACUGGCUCGAUACUGACGCUGAGGUGCGAAAGCGUGGGGAGCAAACAGG
rnacentral:rRNA from 1 species